rnacentral:rRNA from 1 species
UACGGAGGAUGCAAGCGUUGUCCGGAUUCAUUGGGUUUAAAGGGUGCGUAGGCGGAGAAUUAAGUCAGUGGUGAAAGCUUACAGCUUAACUGUAAAAAUGCCAUUGAAACUGAUUUUCUUGAGUUCGAUUGAGGUAGAUGGAAUGUAUCAUGUAGCGGUGAAAUGCUUAGAUAUGAUACAGAACACCAAUUGCGAAGGCAGUCUACUAAGUCGAUACUGACGCUGAGGCACGAAAGCAUGGGGAGCAAACAGGAUUAGAUACCCUGGUAGUCCAUGCCCUAAACGUUGAUUACUCGUUGUUGGCGAUACACUGUCAGCGACUAAGCGAAAGCGUUAAGUAAUCCACCUGGGGAGUACGAUCGCAAGGUUG